UACGUAGGGUGCAAGCGUUAAUCGGAAUUACUGGGCGUAAAGCGUGCGCAGGCGGUCUUGCAAGACAGAUGUGAAAUCCCCGGGCUUAACCUGGGAACUGCGCUUGUUACUGGCAGGCUUGAGUGUGGCAGAGGGGGGUGGAAUUCCACGUGUAGCAGUGAAAUGCGUAGAGAUGUGGAGGAACACCGAUGGCGAAGGCAGCCCCCUGGGCUAACACUGACGCUCAUGCACGAAAGCGUGGGGAGCAAACAGG
rnacentral:rRNA from 1 species